UUGAUUUAUUUGUUAUUGUACUCAGAAGUUACACUAGAAACAGAGUCUGGGGGUCCUCUGGCGGGCCGCCCCGUCUUACCGGGCGCGGGCCAAUCCGCCGAGGCAACUGUAGGUAUGUUCACAAGGGUUUGGGAGUUGUAAACUCGGUAAUGAUCCCUCCGCUGGUUCACCAACGGAGA
rnacentral:misc_RNA from 1 species